rnacentral:rRNA from 1 species
CAGCCGCCGCGGGAAUACGUAGGGUGCGAGCGUUAAUCGGAAUUACUGGGCGUAAAGCGUGCGCAGGCGGUUGUGUAAGACAGGUGUGAAAUCCCCGGGCUUAACCUGGGAACUGCGCUUGUAACUGCACAGCUAGAGUAUGGCAGAGGGGGGUGGAAUUCCACGUGUAGCAGUGAAAUGCGUAGAGAUGUGGAGGAACACCGAUGGCGAAGGCAGCCCCCUGGGCCAAUACUGACGCUCAUGCACGAAAGCGUGGGGAGCAAACAGGAUUAGAUACCCCCGUAGUCCCUGUCUCUUAUAC